GGGGCUGUAACGGUUUCGACGUUUUGGCGAACGUUACCUCGUGAUUCAGGUCGAGAGCGUGCUAUCUCUCGUAAAUCAAUGGCUCAAAAAAAUAGAUGCAAACAACAUCGUACCUUUUGCUCGUAAAGCUGCACCCGUUGCUGCCUAAAUACCUCUAAUUGGUUCGAGCGUCUGUGAUUCGACUCCGUUAAGAGUUGCAGACAAAACCCCAACGGACGCUCUAGCAUCUUGCCUUUGGUCAAAUGCUAGCUAAGACUUUACCAAAGAAUCCCACCGUUAGGGAUAAUUAACGGUUCCCGCUGCAAGGGUUAGCGCAGCUAAACCUGUGAAUGAACGGUGUAUUAAUAACCAGAGCGGACACGGGUUCGACUCCCGUCAGCUCCAUUC
rnacentral:tmRNA from 2 species